GACGAACGCUGGCGGCGUGCUUAACACAUGCAAGUCGAACGGAAAGGCCCCCAUCUUGGUGGGGGUGCUCGAGUGGCGAACGGGUGAGUAACACGUGGGUGAUCUGCCCUGUACUUCGGGAUAAGCUUGGGAAACUGGGUCUAAUACCGGAUAGGACCAUGGUUUAGUGUCUCAUGGUGGAAAGAUUAUUGUUUUGGUGCAGGAUGAGCUCGCGGCCUAUCAGCUUGUUGGUGGGGUAAUGGCCUACCAAGGCGUCGACGGGUAGCCGGCCUGAGAGGGUGGCCGGGCAAAUGGGGACUGAGAUACGGCCCAGACUCCUACGGGGGGCAGCAGUGGGGAAUAUUGCACAAUGGGCGAAAGCCUGAUGCAGCGACGCCGCGUGGGGGAUGACGGCCUUGGGGUUUUAAACUCCUUUCUUUGGGGACGAAGCCACGCUUUUUGGGGGGGGUGACGGUACCUUUUUUAAGAAGCACCGGCUAACUACGU
rnacentral:rRNA from 1 species